rnacentral:rRNA from 1 species
AGUGAACGCUGGCGGUAGGCCUAACACAUGCAAGUCGAACGGCAGCACAGUAAGAGCUUGCUCUUACGGGUGGCGAGUGGCGGACGGGUGAGGAAUACAUCGGAAUCUACUUUUUCGUGGGGGAUAACGUAGGGAAACUUACGCUAAUACAGCAUACGACCUGCGGGUGAAAGCAGUGGAUCUUCGGACCUUGCGCGAUUGAAUGAGCCGAUGUCGGAUUAGCUAGUUGGCGGGGUAAAGGCCCACCAAGGCGACGAUCCGUAGCUGGUCUGAGAGGAUGAUCAGCCACACUGGAACUGAGACACGGUCCAGACUCCUACGGGAGGCAGCAGUGGGGAAUAUUGGACAAUGGGCGCAAGCCUGAUCCAGCCAUACCGCGUGGGUGAAGAAGGCCUUCGGGUUGUAAAGCCCUUUUGUUGGGAAAGAAAAGCAGCAGGUUAAUACCCCGCUGUUCUGACGGUACCCAAAGAAUAAGCACCGGCUAACUUCGUG